AUGGCAGGCCAGACGGUCGCCGACGCCGUGAGGGACCAGGCCGCGCUCUGCCUGCUCCUCCUCCGCCACCUCGGAAGCCUCGACGAGGGAAUGCCCACGCCCACCACCAACCUCGCUUUCUCGCCGAUCUCCUUCCAUGCAUUGCUCUCCCUCCUGGCCGCGGGUGCCUCGGGCGCCACGCGCGACCAGAUCGUCUCCUUCCUCGGCCCCGCGGGCGCAGAGGCACACGCCGUGCUCGCGUCGAAGGUCGCAUCCUUCGUACUCGUCGGCCGAGGGUUGGCCCAGGCCCAUGGAGCCACCGGCAUCUGGGUCGACGCCUCGCUACUCCUCAGUCCUACCUUCGCCGACACGGCCGCCGCUGUCUACAAGGCCGACGUUCGCUCGGUGGACUUCAGCAACAAGCCCAGGGAGGCGACGGCGGAGAUCAAUGAGUGGUUCGAGAGCAAAACGCGCGGCCUCGUCAAGAACAUCGUCUCCGAGCGCGAUUGCGACGGCUCCACGGCGCUCGUCCUCGGCAACUCGGUCUUCUUCAGCGGCUACUGGAACUCCCCCUUCUUCCCGGAGGUCACAGAGGAAGGCCCGUUCUAUGUCAACGCGUCGCCGGAGCACACCGUUCGCGUGCCGUUCAUGAAGGGGAGCCCGUUUCAGCAGAUCGGUGUCCACCCCGGCUUCAAGGUCCUGCGCAUGCCCUACCGUGGCGGCAGCGGCGACGGCGACCCGUUGUUCGCCAUGUACAUCUACCUCCCCGACGACCGCGACGGCCUGCCCGCGCUCGCGCGAACACUCAGCGCCAGCCCCGACGCGCUCCUGCACAGGUCGGUCGUGCCGGAGCAGCCCGUCCCGUUGGGCGAGCUCAAGAUCCCCAAGUUCGAGGUGUCGGUGAGGGUGGAGGCGUCGCGGAUGCUGCGUAACCUGGGGCUGGAGCUGCCGUUCCGUCGCUCCGGCGACUCAUUUUCGGAGAUGUUGAGCCCCCCCGGCGCCUCCGGUGGCUGUCUCGUCCGUCGUCCACCAGUGUGUGGUCAAAGUCGAUGA
rnacentral:rRNA from 1 species